GAUGAACGCUGGCGGCGUGCCUAAUACAUGCAAGUCGAGCGAACAGACGAGGAGCUUGCUCCUCUGACGUUAGCGGCGGACGGGUGAGUAACACGUGGAUAACCUACCUAUAAGACUGGGAUAACUUCGGGAAACCGGAGCUAAUACCGGAUAAUAUAUUGAACCGCAUGGUUCAAUAGUGAAAGACGGUUUUGCUGUCACUUAUAGAUGGAUCCGCGCCGCAUUAGCUAGUUGGUAAGGUAACGGCUUACCAAGGCAACGAUGCGUAGCCGACCUGAGAGGGUGAUCGGCCACACUGAACUGAGACACGGUCCAGACUCCUACGGGAGGCAGCAGUAGGGAAUCUUCCGCAAUGGGCGAAAGCUUGACGGAGCAACGCCGCGUGAGUGAUGAAGGUCUUCGGAUCGUAAAACUCUGUUAUUAGGGAAGAACAAAUGUGUAAGUAACUAUGCAUGUCUUGACGGUACCUAAUCAGAAAGCCACGGCUAACUACGUG
rnacentral:rRNA from 1 species